rnacentral:rRNA from 1 species
CGGCGCGCCUAACACAUGCAAGUCGAACGAGCGAGAGAGAGCUUGCUUUCUCGAGCGAGUGGCGAACGGGUGAGUAACGCGUGAGGAACCUGCCUCAAAGAGGGGGACAACAGUUGGAAACGACUGCUAAUACCGCAUAAGCCCACGGGUCGGCAUCGACCAGAGGGAAAAGGAGCAAUCCGCUUUGAGAUGGCCUCGCGUCCGAUUAGCUAGUUGGUGAGGUAAUGGCCCACCAAGGCGACGAUCGGUAGCCGGACUGAGAGGUUGAACGGCCACAUUGGGACUGAGACACGGCCCAGACUCCUACGGGAGGCAGCAGUGGGGAAUAUUGCACAAUGGGGGAAACCCUGAUGCAGCGACGCCGCGUGGAGGAAGAAGGUCUUCGGAUUGUAAACUCCUGUUGUUGGGGAAGAUAAUGACGGUACCCAACAAGGAAGUGACGGCUAACUACGUGCCAGCAGCCGCGGUAAAACGUAGGUCACAAGCGUUGUCCGGAAUUACUGGGUGUAAAGGGAGCGCAGGCGGGAAGACAAGUUGGAAGUGAAAUCUAUGGGCUCAACCCAUAAACUGCUUUCAAAACUGUUUUUCUUGAGUAGUGCAGAGGUAGGCGGAAUUCCCGGUGUAGCGGUGGAAUGCGUAGAUAUCGGGAGGAACACCAGUGGCGAAGGCGGCCUACUGGGCACCAACUGACGCUGAGGCUCGAAAGUGUGGGUAGCAAACAGGAUUAGAUACCCUGGUAGUCCACACCGUAAACGAUGAUUACUAGGUGUUGGAGGAUUGACCCCUUCAGUGCCGCAGUUAACACAAUAAGUAAUCCACCUGGGGAGUACGACCGCAAGGUUGAAACUCAAAGGAAUUGACGGGGGCCCGCACAAGCAGUGGAGUAUGUGGUUUAAUUCGACGCAACGCGAAGAACCUUACCAAGUCUUGACAUCCCUUGACAGGCAUAGAAAUAUGUUUUCUCUUCGGAGCAAGGAGACAGGUGGUGCAUGGUUGUCGUCAGCUCGUGUCGUGAGAUGUUGGGUUAAGUCCCGCAACGAGCGCAACCCUUAUGGUCAGUUACUACGCAAGAGGACUCUGGCCAGACUGCCGUUGACAAAACGGAGGAAGGUGGGGAUGACGUCAAAUCAUCAUGCCCUUUAUGACUUGGGCUACACACGUACUACAAUGGCGUUAAACAAAGAGAAGCAAGACCGCGAGGUGGAGCAAAACUCAGAAACAACGUCCCAGUUCGGACUGCAGGCUGCAACUCGCCUGCACGAAGUCGGAAUUGCUAGUAAUCGUGGAUCAGCAUGCCACGGUGAAUACGUUCCCGGGCCUUGUACACACCGCCCGUCA